CCGAUUAUUUUUAGAUCGGAUGGAGGGAGAAGCCCUACAGUGCCCAUAUGCGCCCCCACAGCCAUGUUAGGAACAGGAGGAGAACCUCGCCCUAACAUGAGCAAGGUCGAAGGUCUGAUUAUUUUUAGACCGGAUGGGGGGAGAGGCCCUACAGUGUCCAUAUGCGCCCCCACAGCCAUGUUAGGGACAGGAGGAGAAUCUCGUCCUAACAUGAGCAAGGUCGAAGGUCCGAUUAUUUUU
rnacentral:lncRNA from 1 species